GGACAAUGUGCAAGGUGCUGCAUGGUUGUCGUCAGCUCGUGCCGUGAGGUGUUGGGUUAAGUCCCGUAACGAGCGCAACCCCUAUUCUUAGUUGCCAGCGGUUCGGCCGGGGACUCUAAGAAAACUGCCAGCGCAAGCUGUGAGGAAGGUGGGGAUGACGUCAAAUCAUCACGGCCCUUACGUCCUGGGCUACACACGUGCUACAAUGGUAGGUACAAAGGGCAGCCACUUGGUGACAAGGAGCUAAUCUCUAAAACCUAUCUCAGUUCGGAUUGGAGUCUGAAACUCGACUCUAUGAAGCUGGAAUCGCUAGUAAUCGCGCACCAGCCAUGACGCGGUGAAUACGUUCCCGGGCCUUGUACACACCGCCCGUCAAGCCAUGGAAGCUGGGAGUACCUGAAGUCGGUAACCAUACAGGAGCUGCCUAGGGUAAAACUAGUGACUGGGGCUAAGUCGUAACAAGGUAGCCGUACCGGAAGGUGCGGCUGGAACACCUCCUUUCUAGAGAAACAUAUUUUCAUGUGUUAGUCUUCUUCCCUCAAUAUUUUCCCAUUAGCUCAGUGCUUCAGCUGAAUGCGAGGGCUAAUUUAUAGUCCCUUAGCUCAGUUGGUUAGAGCGCUACACUGAUAAUGUAGAGGUCCGCAGUUCAAAUCUGCGAGGGACUACCUAAGCUAUGGGGGAUUAGCUCAGCUGGCUAGAGCGCCUGCCUUGCACGCAGGAGGUCAUCGGUUCGACUCCGAUAUUCUCCACUAUUCCUUUUGGGAUUAAGUUCUUUGACAUAUUUUAUAUUGAUCAUUAAAGUACAAAACAAAUUGUUACUUAUUUAAAAGCUAUUAAGAGCGUAUGGCGGAUGCCUUGGCUCUCAGAGGCGAUGAAGGACGUAAUAAGCUGCGAUAAGCUACGAGGAGGAGC
rnacentral:sRNA from 1 species